GGGGGAGAUAAUCGAGGGCUGCCGCCUACCCGUGCUGCGGCGGAACCAGGACAACGAAGAUGAGUGGCCCCUGGCCGAGAUCCUGAGCGUGAAGGACAUCAGUGGCCGGAAGCUUUUCUACGUCCAUUACAUUGACUUCAACAAACGUCUGGAUGAAUGGGUGACGCAUGAGCGGCUGGACCUAAAGAAGAUCCAGUUCCCCAAGAAAGAGGCCAAGACCCCCACUAAGAACGGACUUCCUGGGUCCCGUCCUGGCUCUCCAGAGAGAGAGCCGGCCUCGGCGCAGGCCAGCGGGAAGACCUUGCCAAUCCCGGUCCAGAUCACACUCCGCUUCAACCUGCCCAAGGAGCGGGAGGCCAUUCCCGGUGGCGAGCCUGACCAGCCGCUCUCCUCCAGCUCCUGCCUGCAGCCCAACCACCGCUCAACGAAACGGAAGGUGGAGGUGGUUUCACCAGCAACUCCAGUGCCCAGCGAGACAGCCCCGGCCUCGGUUUUUCCC
rnacentral:lncRNA from 1 species